rnacentral:rRNA from 1 species
UAGAGUUUGAUCAUGGCUCAGGAUGAACGCUAGCGGCAGGCCUYACAYAURUAGAGUUUGAUCAUGGCUCAGAACGAACGCUGGCGGCAGGCUUAACACAUGCAAGUCGAGCGCUCCGCAAGGRGAGYGGCAGACGGGUGAGUAACACGUGGGAAUCUACCCUUUUCUACGGAAUAACGCAUGGAAACKUGUGCUAAUACCGUAUGUGYCCUUCGGGGGAAAGAUUUAUCGGKAAAGGAUGRGCCCGCGUUGGAUUAGCUAGUUGGUGGGGUAAAGGCCUACCAAGGCGACGAUCCAUAGCUGGUCUGAGAGGAUGAUCAGCCACAUUGGGACUGAGACACGGCCCAAACUCCUACGGGAGGCAGCAGUGGGGAAUAUUGGACAAUGGGCGCAAGCCUGAUCCAGCCAUGCCGCGUGAGUGAUGAAGGCCCUAGGGUUGUAAAGCUCUUUCACCGGAGAAGAUAAUGACGGUAUCCGGAGAAGAAGCCCCGGCUAACUUCGUGCCAGCAGCCGCGGU